rnacentral:rRNA from 1 species
UUCCCUACGGGACGCAGCAGUGAGGAAUAUUGGUCAAUGGGCGAGAGCCUGAACCAGCCAAGUCGCGUGAGGGAGUACUGCCCUAUGGGUUGUAAACCUCUUUUGUCGGGGAGCAAAAGCCGGACGUGUCCGGCUGUGAGAGUACCCGAAGAAAAAGCAUCGGCUAACUCCGUGCCAGCAGCCGCGGUAAUACGGAGGAUGCGAGCGUUAUCCGGAUUUAUUGGGUUUAAAGGGUGCGUAGGCGGACAGUCAAGUCAGCGGUAAAAAUGCGGUGCUCGACGCCGUACAGCCGUUGAAACUGGCAG